GCAGUGGUGGUACAGCGGUAGAAUUCUCGCCUUCCAUGCGGGAGACCUGGGUUUGAUUCCUGGCCAGUGUA
rnacentral:tRNA from 1 species